AAAGGGAUUCCCCUAGUAACGGCGAAAAGGGAUGCCAAUGAAUCCCGUCCUCUGGGGAAAUGUGGCGUAUGGAGGCGGUAUUUCUGGUUGGCGGUGUGGAACAAGUCCCCCUGAACGGGGCAGCCGUAGAGGGUGAAAGCCCCCUAUUUCCUUAUCCGCUCCAGAGCUUCCGUUUCUCCUGAGAGUCGGGUUGUUUGAAAGUGCAGCCCAAAGUGGGUGGUAUGCUCCACCUAAGGCUAAAUAUCACCGAGAAUCCGAUAGCAAACAAGUACCGUGAGGGAAAGUUGAAAAGAACUUUGAAGAGAGAGUUCAAUAGUACGUGAAACUGCUCAGGGGUAAGCGGGUGGGCCCUCGAAGUCCGAACUCGGUUCAACCUCCGCACUCGAACGUGCGGCCCCUUCCGAAGGAACCACAACGAACGGUGGAAGUCGCGUGCGGUGGCGCAUCUUUCCGGUUAGUAGGGAGCCGCGACCGGUUGGUCAGCUUUCUGAAGAAUGAAGGUAGCCUGUCGGCCGGGUCGGCGGGUGUUACAACAGUGUUGCUGAUCGCAGCGACCGUCAACGAACGAGCACAGGUCUCCCGUUCCCAACCGAACGGGGAGGCGAACGCUCGCGUGCUUCGGAUUCUGGCCCUCGUCGUUAAGGAGACCCAGCUCUGCGGCUAGUAGGUUGGGUCCCACCCGUCCCGUCUUGAAACACGGACCAAGGAGUCUAACGCGUAUGCGAGUCCUCGAGUGUUGAAAAACCUCUAGGGCGCAAUGAGAGUGAAGGGGUAAGUUGGGAUCCGUCGGCGCACCAAUCCGCCCCGUCGCUUCGUCGGUGGGACGGAAUCAGAGCAUACGCUGGACCCGAAAGAUGGUGACUAUGCCUGGGCAUGAAGCCAGAGGAACUCUGGUGGAGGCCGAAUUCUGACGUGCAAAUCGAUCCCUGGUAUAGGG
rnacentral:rRNA from 1 species